AAUCAACGCUGGCGGCGUGCCUCAGACAUGCAAGUCGAACGCGAAAGGCCCCUUCGGGGGCUGAGUAGAGUGGCGCACGGGUGAGUAACACGUAGGUAAUUUGCCUUCGGGUGGGGAAUAACUCAGGGAAACUUGAGCUAAUACCGCAUAAUGCAGCGGCUCGACAUCGAGACAGUUGUUAAAGCGGGGGAUCGUAAGACCUCGCGCCUGAAGAGAAGCCUGCGGCAGAUUAGCUAGUUGGUAGGGUAAUGGCCUACCAAGGCGACGAUCUGUAACCGGCCUGAGAGGGCGGGUCGGUCACACUGACACUGACAUACGGGUCAGACUCCUACGGGAGGCAGCAGUCGGGAAUUUUGGGCAAUGGGCGAAANCCUGACCCAGCAACGCCGCGUGAAGGAUGAAAUUUUUCGGAAUGUAAACUUCGCAAGAACGGGAAGAAUAAGUAGAAGAUAAUACCUUCUAU
rnacentral:rRNA from 1 species